CUACGGGCCGCUCCAGUGGGGAAUAUUGCGCAAUGGGCGAAAGCCUGACGCAGCAACGCCGUGUGAGGGAUGAAGGCUUUCGGGUCGUAAACCUCUGUCAGAAGGGAAGAACGGGUAUUGGUCUAAUAGGCCUUUAUUUUGACGGUACCUUCAGAGGAAGCACCGGCUAACUCCGUGCCAGCAGCCGCGGUAAUACGGAGGGUGCAAGCGUUAUUCGGAAUUACUGGGCGUAAAGCGCACGUAGGCCGCUUUGUAAGUCAGGGGUGAAAUCCCACGGCUCAACCGUGGAACUGCCUUUGAAGCUGCAGAGCUCGAAGCCUGGAGAGGGUGGCGGAAUUCCUGGUGUAGGAGUGAAAUCCGUAGAUAUCAGGAGGAACACCGGUGGCGAAGGCGGCCACCUGGACAGGUAUUGACGCUGAGGUGCGAAAGUGUGGGGAGCAAACAGGAUUAGAUACCCGGGUAGUC
rnacentral:rRNA from 1 species